rnacentral:rRNA from 1 species
GACGAACGCUGGCGGCGUGCCUAAUACAUGCAAGUCGAGCGAAGCGGCGGAUGGGUGAGUAACGCGUGGGUAACCUGCCCUUAAGUCUGGGAUACCAUUUGGAAACAGAUGCUAAUACCUGAUACUAAAGGAUGUACCUGCGAUGCAUUAGCUCGUUGGUAAGGUAACGGCUAACCAAGGAGAUAAUGCAUAGCGGAGUUGCAAGACUGAUCGGCAACAUUGGGACUGAGACACGGCCCAGACUCCUACGGGAGGCAGAAGUAGGGAAUCUUCCACAAUUGACGAAUGUCUGAUGGAGCAGCGCCGCGUGAGUGAAGAAGGUUUUCGGAUCGUAAGGCUCUGUUGUUGGUGAAGCGGUAAUCAACCAGAAAGUCACGGCUAACUACGUGCCAGCAGCCACGGUAAUAC